AACUCCGGUGCCGCCCGAAGCAGGAGAUCACUCGGACAGGUGAACAUCAGCCGCUCGGCUGCGUUUUCACGUCCUCGGCACCUCUACGCUCAGCGCGACACGACCCGAAAAGGACUUCGACCCUCGCCGGGAUUCGCGCCUUCGCGCCCAGUCACCCGCUGACAG
rnacentral:ncRNA from 1 species